GAUUUACUUGUCUCUUGGAUGACAUCUGACAGAGAUUGUUUAAGCGUAACCCAUUCAACCCCUCCCCAAAGCUCGCUCCUACACAUCCUUAAAAACACCAGUGUAGAGACCUGUAUGGCUGGCCAUCUCUGUCAGCUUAGACUCCAUUUACAUCAUGGAGUCAUGAUCACAGGAAAUGCCCUGGAGAUCGCCUAGAACCAUCCCUAUUCUGUCGGUUUGAGGACGAGCCUAUCAGAUUGCAUUUCUAACACUACACCUGCUUUGAUGAUAUGGGGACACACCCCGAACAGUGAGAGUCCCCAGGUCACUGCUGUUUCUUUUCCCUGAAUUAAAGAGCCCAGAGGCAGGCAAACUUGGAGUAAAACUGACAGCUGUGGAUUCUUUGGUCAGAAAGUUGGGGUGACAGAACCCAGAGGAGCAGCCCAGGUCUUCUACUUCAGAGUCUCCCCUGCUCUCCAUCCCACACUGAAGGAUGGGAAUGAAUGGACCGCACACACACCUGGUCUCCCCUCCAUAUCGUUGACUAAAGCAAAAUGCCUGGGGAAGACAGCUCAGUUGGUAACGAGCUUGCCUUCCAAGCGCGAGGACCCGGGUUUGAGGUCCAGCUGCUGUGGUCCACACUUGUAUCCUCCACAUCAGAGAGGUCAAAACAGGCAGGUCCCUGGGGCUCCCUGGCUGGCCAGCCCACAGAAGUCAGUUAUCCAAGGGAAUCAGUGAUCUCUAAGCCAUUGAUCAGUGGCUUCUGAGCAAUGACACCUGAGGUUGGUCAUCCUUGACUCUGCUGUAGAACCUGAGUAGGUUCCCCAUCAUGGCACCAACUGUACUGCCACCCUGCAGCCCCUCAGCAUCUCUGGGUCCAGUGGACUUCUGUUCCUAUUUAUCCUCCUGUGUCAGGAUUGUUACUUUUUCCACUUGAUCUACUUCCAUCGCUUCAGUCACCUGCAUUCUUGCAAAGAUGUGUGACCUUUCUGUGACCUCACUCUCCUCGUUCUAGUGCCCCGUUCCUGUCAGUAACUCAUCUCUCUCCUCUCCUUGGCUUUGGGAGCAUCUGCCAGGUCAGAAGUCCCUGUGAAACUCAUCCAAAGCAUCUUGCCUGAGGGAGCAUAGAAUUUAUUAUUAUUAUUAUUAUUAUUAUUAUUAUUAUUAUUAUUAUUAUUAUUUCAAAUGGUAAAAUAGGAGAAGCACAAUGCACUGGCUGAGGGCCCACCUCCUUGGGCUUAAACUAGCUUCAUCCUUCUGGUGAGCGAGGAAGAUGUGGAAAAAAGUCGCAAUGCACCAGGAAAUCAUUUCUACAGUCUGAAAGCUGGGGUGAUGGGCCAGGCAGGCACUGGUAGUGAGAGUCUCCUUGCAUAAAUAGAUCAUUUUAAUACACAGCACGUCUGACAGGUGUCCAUCCUCAAUAUGAACUGCUCUACUUCACUGACCAGUUUGGGGGGUGGGGGGGUGGAGUGGAGGGAGGUCGAGGUGGAGGGUCCUGCUCUCAAAAAGGUCCUCAUUGGUUUCCACUGAGUUCCUGUGGUCUCAGGAUGAACCAUGCUGGUAUUGUGCCAACUCUAACUCUCUCUCUUUCUCUCUCAUGUUUCCUUAAACAAAGAAUUCUCCUUGUUUGGUUCUGAGGUUCAGAUAAAGGAGCUGGGUUCUAUGUGCACAUCAUCUAAGGUGGCAGAGACUUGUACAGCCAUCCAGACUCCCGCCAUACACACACACACA
rnacentral:lncRNA from 1 species